rnacentral:miRNA from 14 species
UUCGGCCAUGUGUCACUGCGCCAACUCGCGCCGGCAGCUUUGAGUCGAACAGCUGAUUGGCGGAGUGACACUGCGCCGGCGCGAGUUGGCGCAGUGUCACGUGGCCGAA